GGGGAAUUUUGGACAAUGGGGGCAACCCUGAUCCAGCCAUCCCGCGUGUGCGAUGAAGGCCUUCGGGUUGUAAAGCACUUUUGGCAGGGAAGAAACGGCGCGCCUGAAUAGGGGGCGUCACUGACGGUACCUGCAGAAUAAGCACCGGCUAACUACGUGCCAGCAGCCGCGGUAAUACGUAGGGUGCAAGCGUUAAUCGGAAUUACUGGGCGUAAAGCGUGCGCAGGCGGUUCGGAAAGAAAGGUGUGAAAUCCCAGAGCUUAACUUUGGAACUGCACUUUUAACUACCGGGCUAGAGUAUGUCAGAGGGGGGUAGAAUUCCACGUGUAGCAGUGAAAUGCGUAGAGAUGUGGAGGAAUACCGAUGGCGAAGGCAGCCCCCUGGGAUAAUACUGACGCUCAGGCACGAAAGCGUGGGGAGCAAAC
rnacentral:rRNA from 1 species